GACGAACCGUGCGAACGUUGUUCGGAAUCACUGGGCUUAAAGGGCGCGUAGGCGGGCGGCAAAGUCCGGGGUGAAAGCCCCCAGCUUAACUGGGGAACUGCCUUGGAUACUGGUCGCCUCGAGGGGGGUAGGGGCGUGCGGAACGCUUGGUGGAGCGGUGAAAUGCGUUGAUAUCAAACGGAACUCCGGUGGCGAAGGCGGCGCGCUGGACCUCUUCUGACGCUGAGGCGCGAAAGCCAGGGUAGCGAACGGG
rnacentral:rRNA from 1 species